AUAAAUAUCAAGACAAAAUUUAUAUCCAAUAAAAUUGGAACGAUACAUAGAAGAUUAGCAUGGCCCCUGCGCAAGGAUGACAUGCACAAAUCGAGAAAUGGUCCAAAUUUUU
rnacentral:snRNA from 1 species